GGGUCGAUAGUGCAGUGGUUAGCACUCUGGGUCACAUUCGCAAGGUCGUUGGUUCAAGUCCAACAGGAGACA